GGCGAGUAUGACUGCUAGGUGUGUUGUGGGUUUCCAGCGCGCUGUACUUGCUGGCAGCUAACGCAUUAAGUACUCCGCCUGGGGAGUACGGCCGCAAGGACUAAAAACUCAAUGGAAUGACGGGGGGCCCGCACAAGCGGUGGAGCUGGUGGUUUAUUUCAUGCAACGCGAAAAAACCUUACCACUCCUUGACUUCCUCUGACUUUCCUAAAAAGGAUAGGUCCCCUUCGGGGGUCUGAGACAGGUGCUGGCUGGGUUGUCGUCAGCUCGUGUUGUGAAAAGGUGGGGUUAAUCCCCGCAACGAGCGCAACCCUUGAUCUUUGUUGCCAGCAUUCAGGUGGGCACUCCAAAGGAAAUGGCGGUGAUAACCUGGAGGAAGGUGGGGGAUGACGUCAAAUCAUCAUGCCCCUUAUGAACUGGGGCUACACACGUGCUACAAUGGGCGCAUACAAAGGGAAGCGAAACUCGCGAGGUUAAGCGGACCUCACAAAUCUGUUCUCAAUUCGGGAUCUGGAGUCUGCAACUCGACUGCCAUGAAGCUGGAAUCGCUAGUAAUCGCAGAUCAGAAUGCCGCGGUGAAUACGUUCCCGGGCCUUGUACACACCGCCCGUCACACCACGAGAGUGUGUUGCACCCGAAGUCGGUGACGUAACCUUUGGGAGCCGCUUACCGAUUGUGUGAAUAGAUGAUUGGGGGUGGAGUCGUACAGUGUUAACCGUAACGUUCCCCCAGUUUA
rnacentral:rRNA from 2 species